rnacentral:lncRNA from 1 species
AAAAGGAAUUCAGGUUUCCACUUCACAAUUACAGAGGUUUUUUUCAUUUUAUUCAGGAAUGUUGUCCUUGGUUCCCAGAAGAGGGAACCUUAGAUCUAAAAACAUGGGUAAAAAUAGGAGAAGCUUUAAGAGCAUAUUACUCUAAUUAUGGACCAGAAAAUGUGCCUGUAGAUGCUAUAGCAUUAUGGAAUCUUUUAAAAGAUAUGUUAGAUCCAGCUCAAGAAGCUGAAAUCUUAAAUAGGAUUAACUCAACUGCCCCUACUGAAGAAACUCCCCUAAGGAAGGACUCUAGGAGAGAAACUUAUGUCCUAAAAAAAGAUGAGGAGAAAGAUCAGUCUUGUUUAGAAAAUGAAGAUAAUUUAGAAGAAGCAGCUACUGAAUAUCAUAAUGAAGAAUUCUUUGCCCCUAUAAGUACACAUUCUUGUGGACCUCUUACAAAAUCUUCUACCAAAAAUAAAUUAGGUUCCAAAAUAAAAAAUACCCUACCUCCUCCUUCACGGAAUGUAGGAUUCAAAGGCGCCAUGAGAGAGACUCUACAAUCUGGAGAUCUAAGUUUCACUCUCCCUAUCACUUUUGAUUCACAUGCUGAACACUAUAUGCCUCAAUCGGAGCCCCUUCCUUUAAAACUUUUAAAAGAAUUAAAACAGUCUGUUCAUGAUUAUGGGCCCACUUCUCCUUAUACUUUACAGAUAGUAGAAACUAUUGCCACUAGAUGGAUGACUCCAUAUGAUUGGUCUGCUACUGCAAAAUCUCGUCUCCCUAGAGGGACAUUCUUAUUAUGGAAAACAGAUUAUGAAGAUAGAACUAAAGAAUGCUCUCGAUAUAAUAAAUCUAUAAAUAGUGAAGUCACUUUUGAUACGUUAAUGGGAGAAAAUGAUUGGGCUCAGCCAAGUGAUCAAUGACAUCUGCCUCAGCCUGCCUUGAUCCAGUGCUCAGAUACAGCAGUUAAUGCUUGGAGACAAUUGGAAAAUAAAGGAGUUAAAACUUCUGGCUUAAGUACUAUAAAACAAAAGCCUGAAGACCUUUUGAGGAAUUUUUGUCUAGAUUAAAAGAAUCAGUGGAAAAAAUUAUAACUAAUAAUGAAGCUGCACAAAUUAUAAUUAAACAAUUAGCUUUUGAAAAUGCAAAUACUGCAUGUCAGACACUCCUAAGACCUAUUAGAAAGACAGGAAAUUUAUCUGAUUUUGUUAAGGUUUGUGCUGAUGUAUCACCCUCAUAUUUGCAAGGUGUAGCCAUAGCUGCAGCAUUAUGGGGACAAACAAAUGCUCAGUUUCUUAAAAGGCUUCAAAACAGAGAACAAAAUAAAGGAAAUCAAAGCUGUUUUCUUGCGGACAGACAGGCCAUUUUAGUAAAGUUUGUCCUAAUAAAAACUUUCAAAAUAAAGGAAACAUAGUUCCUAAUCAGAUAUCUAGACCCAAAAAUUUAUGCCCACGUUGCGAUAAGGGAUUUCACUGGACAAAGGAGUGUCGCUCUAAAUUUCAUAAAGAUGGGAGACUUUUAGAAGGUGGACCAAUGCCUCAAAAAUUUCCACAAAUGACUGCCAAUCCAUUACCAGGAAACUGUAAUGGGGCCCUCCUCGGGCCCCUUAAAUAAUGGAGGUCAUCAACAAUCUUUUUCAACAGGAUAUACUAUAAGGGCUUUAUUAACAGCCACACCAGAUUCAGCAGGAUUAGAUUUGGCAUCUUCAGAAUCAGUAGUUAUUCCCUCAGACUCUUCUGUUCUAGCUAUACCUACUAAAAUUUAUGGACCUUUACCUAAAGGAACUUUUGGUCUUAUUCUAGGAAGAAGCUCUGCUUCCCUACAGGGAAUCAAAGUUAUUCCUGGAGUUGUUGAUUCUGAUUUUACUGGAGAAAUUAAGAUUUUAAUAGAACCCUCAUCUCAAAAGACUUUGAUUAUUCAUUAAGGGCAAAGAAUUGCUCAAAUCUUGCUACUCCCCUAUUUAUCUAUCGGAAACUGAGCUAUUUCAAAUGAACAAAGACAAACAAAAGGAUUUGGUUCUAGUGAUAUGGCAUUCUGGGUUCAAAAAAUUCAAAAUUCUCGUCCUAUGAAAAAACUAGAGAUUCAGGGAAAAAUAAUUGAUGGAUUAUUAGACACAGGAGCAGAUGUCACUUGUAUAGCUGGAAAAGAUUGGCCUUCAACCUGGCCUACAACAGUAACUCCCUCAACACUUAUGGGACUUGGAACUUCCACUAAUGUAGCAAAAAGCACUCAAAUACUUAACUGGGCUGAUGACAAAAAUUCAGGAACUUUUCAGCCAUAUGUUAUUCCUUCUCUUCCUUUUACUUUAUGGGGCCGAGAUAUAAUGUUUAAAAUGGGAGUUUCUCUCUGUACUGCUCUUGUAGAAGAGUCUCAACAGGAUUUUUAAUUGGGGCCAUUGUUGAAACAACAGAUAAAAUGACUUGGAAAGAUGAUGAGCCUGUGUGGGUAGAACAAUGGCCCUUAACAACAGAAAAAUCACAGGCUGCAGACUUGUUGGUUAAGGAUCAACUUAAUUUAAAACACAUAGAACCUUCUAAUAGUCCAUGGAAUACUCCUGUAUUUGUUAUUAAAAAGAAAUCAGGUAAAUGGAGAUUAAUACAAGAUUUAAGAGCUAUAAAUGCUACCAUGGAGGAUAUGGGUUCCUUACAACCAGGACUCCCCUCUCCAGUAGCUGUCCCUAAAGGAUUUCAUGUUAUGGUAAUAGACUUACAAGAUUGCUUUUUUACCAUUCCAUUAUAUCCUGAUGAUCGUAAAAGGUUUGCUUUUAGCCUUCCCUCUGUGAAUUUAAAACGGCCAUAUCAACGUUUUCAAUGGAAGGUGUUGCCUCAAGGUAUGAAAAACAGUCCUACUCUCUCUCAAAAAUAUGUUGCAUCAGAAAUACAACCAAUAAGAGAUAAAUAUAAAGAUGCCUAUAUUAUUCAUUAUAUGGAUGACAUAUUAAUUGCUCAUAAAGAUGUCCAGUUGCAUCAUCAUAUAUUAUUAAUGUUGACACAGUCCUUACAAAAUUUUGGUUUAAUCAUUGCCCCAGAUAAAAUUCAGCAAUCACCUCCUUAUAAUUAUUUGGGUAGAAUUAUAAAUACUCAAACUGUUUCCCAUCAAAAUUUAAAAUUACGGAUUGAUCAUUUACAAACUUUAAAUGAUUUUCAAAAACUUUUAGGAGAUAUUAAUUGGAUUCGUCCUUUUUUGAAACUUACUACUGCAGAUCUUAAACCCUUAUUUGAUAUUUUGAAAGGAGACUCUAACCCACGUUCUUCUCGUAUUUUGACAGAAGAAGCUAAAUUGGAUUUAAAUAAGGUAGAAGAAGCUAUUAAUAAACAACAAUUGCAAAGAGUUGAUUAUACUCAAACUUGGGAUCUUCUUAUUUUACCUACUCCUCAUACACCCACAGGAGUAUUAUGGCAGUCAGGUCCUUUAGAGUGGAUACAUAUGCCGGUUACUUCUAAAAAGGUUAUUUGCUCAUACCCUACUGUGAUCGCUUUAUUAAUAAUAAAAGGAAGACAUAGAAGUAGAGAGUUAUUUGGGAAAGAAAUGCAUAAUUUGGUGAUUCCUUAUUCUAGAGAUCAAUUAAAUACACUUAUGGAACAUUCUGAAGAUUGGCAAAUAGCUUUACAGGGAUAUUGUGGUCAUAUUAAGUUUCAUUUGCCAUCUCACCCUUUGUUAUAUUCAGUUAAGAAUCACCCUGUUAUUUUUCCAAAAUUGUUUUCUUCUGAACCUCUACCUCAACCAGCAGCUUUAGUUUUCACUGAUGGCUCCUCAAAUGGACGAGCAUCUUUAGUUAUUAAUGAUGAAACCUAUGUUCAACAGACAGAGGAAACCUCUGCUCAGAGGGCAGAAAUAAUAGCUGUAAUUAUGGCUUUUACCCAUUUAAAAGAUCAAAUGUUUAACUUAUAUACUGAUUCUCAGUAUAUUGUGGAAAUUUUUCCUCAUAUAGAGACAGCUUCUCUUCCUCAGCAUAAGACUACAAUUUUUCAUCAUUUAAAUUCUUUACAGAAGUUUAUUUCAGAUAGACAACAUCCUUAUUUUAUAGGGCACAUUCGAGGACAUUCUAACUUACCAGGAGAAUUGUCACAAAGCAAUGCAUUGGCAGAUUCAUUAACCAGACCCCAAAUUCUUACUGUUCCGGAAGCUACAGCUAGUCAUGCUUUACAUCAUCAAAAUGCUUCUGCCCUUCGACAGCAAUUUCAUAUCCCUAGGGAAUCAGCUAGAACUAUUGUCAGAAAUUGUCAAACCUGUCCAUCAUUACUGCCAACCUUACCCAUGGGGGUUAAUCCUCGUGGUUUAAGACCUGAUGAUCUCUGGCAAAUGGAUGUUACUCAUAUUCCUUCAUUUGGAAAAUUAAGUUAUGUUCAUGUUGUUGUUGAUACUUUUUCUCAUGUGAUUAUUGCCUCAGCAAGAACUAGGGAAGCAUAUAAAGACGUAGUGCAACACUUGUUCAUUUGUUUCUCAUAUUUGGCAAUGCCUAAAGCAUUAAAAACAGAUAAUGCACCAGCUUAUACUUCAAAUGCUUUUAAAAAAUUUUGUGAUACGUUUAAAAUUUCUCAUUCUACAGGAAUCCCUUAUAAUCCUCAAGGACAAGCUAGAGUUGAGAGAACUCAUCAAACAUUGAAAGCUCAAAUUACUAAACUUCAAGAAGGAGAAUAUAAAUAUAGUUCUCCUCAUCAUGUUUUACAACAUGCUUUGUUUGUGAUUAAUCAUCUUAAUUGUGAUUAUAAAGGAGUAACUCCUAUGUUAAGACAUUGGGAAAAUGAAAAAAAUAUCAGCAAAACCCUUAGUAAAAUGGAAAGAUCUUUUGACAGGUAAAUGGAAAGGACCUGAUGUAUUACUAACUUGUGGGCGAGGAUAUGCUUGUGUCUUCCCACAGGACGCAGAUUCCCACAUUUGGAUUCCUGACAGACUGAUUCGACCCUAUGUCCAGCCUCCGGACCAGAAAGCGGAACAGAUCGUGCCCUCCGAGUCUCCCAUACUCCUCACCAUUGACCACGGUGCCUGAGGAAGAUUUGAUGACUACCUUGAUUCCAUCUUUCUCCCGAAUGAACUUUGAUGGUCCUCAGUCCUUAUUCAGACGAUCAUCUUCUACAAGAUCUGCAGAACUACCAACUUGGGGACAAUUAAAACAAUUGACUCAUCAAGCUCGAGAACUUAUUUCUACUCAGUCAAACCCCUGCACUCCUGAGAAAAGGUUUGUUGCUAUGCUAGCUAUUCUUGCCUGUCAGGUAACCAAUGUGUCUUCUGAAUAUUAUUGGGCAUAUUAUCCUGAUCCACCUUUAUUUCAUCUCACUACUUGGGGAAAAGGAGAUAUUAAGGUAUUUACCAAUAAUACUAAUCUCCUGGGGGGUGAAUCUAAUUCUUUUAUUACUCCUAUAUCAACUCAUAAUUUUAGUUUUAAGGGUCAUAGUCAUUUACCUCCUCUGUGUUUCAGUUAUAAUGUUAUUCAAAUU